rnacentral:rRNA from 1 species
CCUACGGGAGGCAGCAGUAGGGAAUAUUGCUCAAUGGGGGAAACCCUGAAGCAGCAACGCCGCGUGGAGGAUGAAGGUUUUCGGAUUGUUAACUCCUUUUGUUACAGAAGUUAAUGACGGUAUCUAACGAAUAAGCACCGGCUCACUCCGUGCCAGCAGCCGCGGUAAUACGGAGGGUGCAAGCGUUACUCGGAAUCACUGGGCGUAAAGCGCGCGUAGGCGGGAUAGCAAGUCAGAUGUGAAAUGCUAUGGCUUAACCAUAGAACUGCAUUUGAAACUGUUAUGCUAGAGUAUGGGGGAGGUAGGUGGAAUUCGGGGUGUAGGGGUAAAAUCCGUAGAGAUCAAGAGGAAUACUCAUUGCGAAGGCGACCUGCUAGAACAUAACUGACGCUGAUGCGCGAAAGCGUGGGGAGCGAACAGGAUUAGAUACCCGAGUAGUC